rnacentral:rRNA from 1 species
AAAUGAAUAGACGGGGGCCCGCACAAGCGGAGGAACAUGUGGUUUAAUUCGAUGAUACGCGAGGAACCUUACCCGGGCUUGAAUUGCAGGAGAACGAUCCAGAGAUGGUGAGGUCCUUCGGGACUCCUGUGAAGGUGCUGCAUGGUUGUCGUCAGCUCGUGCCGUGAGGUGUCGGCUUAAGUGCCAUAACGAGCGCAACCCCUCUCUUCAGUUGCCAUCAGGUAAUGCUGGGCACUCUGGAGACACUGCCACCGCAAGGUGUGAGGAAGGUGGGGAUGACGUCAAAUCAGCACGGCCCUUACGUCCGGGGCUACACACGUGUUACAAUGGUGGGUACAGAGUGUCGGGGGUAUGCAAAUGCCCUCCAAUCAUGAAAACCCUCCUCAGUUCGGACUGGGGUCUGCAACCCGACCCCACGAAGCUGGAUUCGCUAGUAAUCGCGCAUCAGCCAUGGCGCGGUGAAUACGUUCCCGGGCCUUGUACACACCGCCCGU